AUUGAACGCUGGCGGCAGGCCUAACACAUGCAAGUCGAGCGGAUGAAGGGAGCUUGCUCCUGGAUUCAGCGGCGGACGGGUGAGUAAUGCCUAGGAAUCUGCCUGGUAGUGGGGGAUAACGUCCGGAAACGGGCGCUAAUACCGCGUACGUCCUGAGGGAGAAAGUGGGGGAUCUUCGGACCUCACGCUAUCAGAUGAGCCUAGGUCGGAUUAGCUAGUUGGUGGGGUAAAGGCCUACCAAGGCGACGAUCCGUAACUGGUCUGAGAGGAUGAUCAGUCACACUGGAACUGAGACACGGUCCAGACGCCUACGGGAGGCAGCAGUGGGGAAUAGUGGACAAUGGGCGAAAGCCUGAUCCAGCCAUGCCGCGUGUGUGAAGAAGGUCUUCGGAUUGUAAAGCACGUUAAGUUGGGAGGAAGGGCAGUAAGUUAAUACCUUGCUGUUUUGACGUUACCAACAGAAUAAGCACCGGCUAACUUCGUG
rnacentral:rRNA from 1 species